rnacentral:pre_miRNA from 1 species
CCUUAUCAUUCUCGUGUCCAGGCUGCCGGUUGAUCGAGAUCUGGACGGAGAACUGAUAAGGGC